rnacentral:rRNA from 1 species
UACGUAGGGUGCAAGCGUUGUCCGGAAUUAUUGGGCGUAAAGAGCUCGUAGGCGGUCUGUCGCGUCUGCUGUGAAACCCGGGGCUCAACCCCGGGCCUGCAUCCGAUACUCCCGGGCUGGAGGCAGGUAGGGAGAUCGGAAUUCCUGGUGUAGCGGUGAAAUGCGUAGAUAUCAGGAGGAACACCGGUGGUGUAGACGGCUUACUGGACCACGACUGACACUGAGGCACGAAAGCGUGGGUAGCAAACAGG